rnacentral:rRNA from 1 species
UACGUAGGGGGCGAGCGUUGUCCGGAUUUAUUGGGCGUAAAGAGCUCGUAGGCGGUUUGUCGCGUCGGCCGUGAAAUCUCCACGCUUAACCGGGGAACUGCGUCUGAUACUGGAUGGCUUGAGUUCGGGAGAGGGAUGCGGAAUUCCAGGUGUAGCGGUGAAAUGCGUAGAUAUCUGGAGGAACACCGGUGGCGAAGGCGGCAUCCUGGACCGACACUGACGCUGAGGAGCGAAAGCCAGGGGAGCAAACGGG